GACGAACGCUGGCGGCGUGCCUAAUACAUGCAAGUCGAGCGAGCGGAACCAACAGAUUUACUUCGGUAAUGACGUUGGGAAAGCGAGCGGCGGAUGGGUGAGUAACACGUGGGGAACCUGCCCCUAAGUCUGGGAUACCAUUUGGAAACUGGUGCUAAUACCGGAUACGAUCUGAGGAUGAAAGCGGGGGACCUUCGGGCCUCGCGCGAUUGGAGCGGCCGAUGGCAGAUUAGGUAGUUGGUGGGAUAAAAGCUUACCAAGCCGACGAUCUGUAGCUGGUCUGAGAGGACGACCAGCCACACUGGGACUGAGACACGGCCCAG
rnacentral:rRNA from 1 species